CGUUUGGUGGCCGAGUCAGAGGCGAUAGACUGUAGAUCUAUUAACGGAAUUAAGUUUUCCCAACGA
rnacentral:tRNA from 1 species